GCUCUGUGGUUUAACCCACAGCGCCAACCAUGUUGGUUAGAGUAUGAGACUCUAAAUCUUAGGGUUGUGGGUUCAAGUUUCACGUUGGGCA